GGCCUGAUGGUCUAGCGGUAUGAUUCUUGCUUCGGGAGUGACAUCUCAGUCUUAUAUAUAAAGAGACUAUAGUUUGCGAGAGGUCCCGGGUUCAAUCCCCGGUCAGGCCC